rnacentral:rRNA from 1 species
ACUCCUACGGGAGGCAGCAGUAGGGAAUCUUGCGCAAUGGGCGAAAGCCUGACGCAGCCAUGCCGCGUGAAUGAUGAAGGUCUUAGGAUUGUAAAAUUCUUUCAGCAGGGAAGAUAAUGACUGUACCUGCAGAAGAAGCCCCGGCUAACUUCGUGCCAGCAGCCGCGGUAAUACGAAGGGGGCUAGCGUUGCUCGGAAUUACUGGGCGUAAAGGGCGCGUAGGCGGGUGCUUAAGUCAGAGGUUAAAUCCCAGGGCUCAACCCUGGAACUGCCUUUGAUACUGGGCACCUUGAGUACGGGAGAGGUGAGUGGAACUCCGAGUGUAGAGGUGAAAUUCGUAGAUAUUCGGAAGAACACCAGUGGCGAAGGCGACUCACUGGCCCGUUACUGACGCUGAGGCGCGAAAGCGUGGGGAGCAAACAGGAUUAGAUACCCUGGUAGUCCACGCCGUAAACGAUGAGUGCUAGUUGUCGGCAUGCAUGCAUGUCGGUGACGCAGCUAACGCAUUAAGCACUCCGCCUGGGGAGUACGGUCGCAAGAUUAAAACUCAAAGGAAUUGACGG